GCCCUGCCAUAUCUACUAUGUUGAAUAAAAUUCUGGGUAAGAUUAUGAUGAUGACAUUGUUUACUCAUGUGUCUUGACCAAAUUACGUGCCAGCAGUCGCGGUAAUACGUAGAAGACUAGUGGUAUUCAUCUUUAAUAGGUUUAAAGGGGCCCUACAGGGAAUCAAGCCCCUGCGUACCAAGAUGGGACUAAUUUGCUAGAGUUUCUUACCAGGAGGCUAUAAAGUACUAAUGGGGUGGAGAUGAAAUUUUGUAAUACCAUUUCUCGCAAGAGAAGUUAUGGCACUGAUAAAGGCGAAAGCAUCCUCUUAUGUGAUAACUGACGUUGAGGGACGAAAGCUUUGGGUCGCGAAUAGGAUUAGAUACCCCUGUAGUCCAAGCAGAGAAUGAUGAGUGUCAUAGAUUAGAUUUCUUUAAGUUUAUUCUAUAAAUGAAAGUGUAAGCACUCCACCUCAAGAGUAAUUUGGCAACAUUGGAACUGAAAUCAUUAGACCGUUUCUGAAACCAGUAGUGAAGUAUGUUGUUUAAUUUGAUAUCCCGCAAAACACCUUACCACAACUUGAAUAUAAAUAAUCUCUUAAAAAAGAUGUUUUUACAAGCGUUGCACGGCUGUCUACAGUUAAUGUCGUGAGACUUUGGUUAGAUCCAUUAAAUUAACGCAAGCCCUUACUUUAUUUUUAAAUAAAGUUGUUCCCCACUAUAUUGGAUAUGAUAACAGGGACUAAGACAAGUCAUCAUGACCUGAAUGUUGUGGG
rnacentral:rRNA from 1 species